rnacentral:lncRNA from 1 species
UUCUGAAUGCUGUUUAUUUGCUUUAACUAUACUAAUCACGACUACUAAAUACACUAGCCACAUUCUUCAAAUGUUACUCAUCACGUGAUCCAUUUCAAAUAACUUUCCAUUCAAGUUUCAAACUCAAAACAUUUGUUCUCAAACAUAUAGAAGUUAGAACUUAGAAUAUACAAAAUUAUUGAAAGUAUUUAUUAAGAAGAUUGAGAAAUGGUCCCAUACUCUGGUAUUUGCAUGUUUAUCUGAAAAUUCAGUAAAGUCUUCGGUUUGGGUUUGAUGUGUCCCACUCGUUGCCUUUGACCAAAAGUAACCUAUUAUUACAUUUAGCUUAAUAAAAAAAAUACUAGCCACAAUAGGUGUUUUCGUUAAUUAAUUUAUUAUUAUAAUUGACACAGCAAAAUCGUCAAAAAGAAACAUUUCAUAUGUUUUACACUAAAAAAAAAAGAAACAUUUCAUAAUUAUUUAGAGAGCUCCCAAAUAUACCCUUUAUUUUCAUUUUUAUUUAAAUACCAUAUCACAUAGAUUUAUUCCCUUUUUAAGUGGUGGAACUGUAUAACCUAACUUUUUGAACCACAAACUGUAUAACCUAACUAAACACAAGCCAUAUCUGUCCUCCUCCCCAAUUGGAAUCUUAGUAUUUAUACGCGUAUACACAUAUCCACGUAUCUGUUUACAUGUGAAUACGUAACAUAUAGAGCACAUGUGCUAUGUGUAUAUAACAUAUACUAUAACGAAAGAGAAAGGACACAUAAACAAUGCAUACGUCCCAAUGUAUGCUUGAGAGUUUUAAAGCUUUUUAUACUCUUUUUUUUUUUGGGUAUUUGCAAAAAGAUUGAGACUCCACAUCGAAAUGCCUUUUAUUUUAUUUACAUCUUUAUAGAUUCUUGAGCAUCUAAACAUAUCAUAUCAUAUAUAUAUAUACAAACGCAACCAUUUAUCCACAUUACGUGCAUCUAUUAUUCCCAUGUACCAAUGCAUCGAUUUGACUAUAUGCCAAAUAGAAAAUUAAAACAAACAUGUUCCUUUGAAGACAAAAAUCCUCAACCAAGUGCCUCGAAUCCAUUACCAUUUCCAUUUCCAUUUCAUACACAUGGAAUUUUAUUUAAAAAAUGCAUGGAAAAUUUAAUAGUGAAACAUUAUGCUAUGUAUUGUUUAUUUAUUUGUUUUUGGUUGAUAAAUUUGUGUAUUUAACUAUUUAAAACUAUUUAAGUCUCUCUC